GUACAUUUCAAAUAAUAUCAAUUUUAAGAAUGGACACAAACUAUUAAAAGAUUAAGAUAUUUUAUAUUUUCUUUAAAAACUUUUGAAAAAGAAGGAAAUCCAUGAAAUAUACAUCUCAAGUAAAAACAACUUUAAGAAUUGACACAAACUAUUAGAAAAUUAUGUCAUGUAUGCCUAGAUCAAUAUGAUAACUACCUAAACCUCAACAUUUUAAUCAACUAUUCAAUAAUCAAGCAUGUAGGUGUGAGCAUUUGGUCCGAACCGAACAGAACCGAAAUAAAUUAUAAACAAUUGAAUUUUA
rnacentral:misc_RNA from 1 species